CGUGCAGGCCGGGUGACCGCGGGCCGCUCCGUCGUUUAGGCGGAGGCGGCUCGAGGAAAGUCCGGACACCACAGGGCAAGGACGCUGGGGUCGACCCAGGCGGCGAAAGCUGACGGAAAGUGGAACAGAAAGGAGACCGCCGGCCGAUUUGUGCACGAUUAGGCCGGUAAGGGUGAAACGGUGGGGUAAGAGCCCACCAGCGGCAGUGGCGACACAGCCGGCUAGCUAAACCCCGUCCGGUGCAAGGCGAAGCAGGUCCCGUUGACGCGGCCCGCCGAGGGACCGGGUACGCCGCAAAGAGAGAUGGUCAUCCUCGACAGAAUCCGGCUUACAGGCCUGCUACGGAAA
rnacentral:RNase_P_RNA from 1 species